CACAGGGCGGAAGAGAAAGGGACUGUGGAGUCACUCCCUUUGGGACACCUGACACCACAUGGGCCAGCCUGGCCCUUCUGAGAAUAAAUCCCACACACGGUGGGAAAGCCAGGAAUCUUCCAGUCCUGCGUGAAAAUGAAGAAUUCGCUAGCUUGUCCCUUCCUUCUACCUUUACUGACAUUCUCUGUGCCCGGAUCGGACUUAAACCCUGGUAACUGACAAGGAGCCGAUGUGAACCAGAGCCAAAACUCAGGAGUGCAGGUCCGCUGAAUGAGGGUGGGGCCCCAAGACCAUGCCCAGGUCUGGGUCCACACCUUUCCUGAUCAGGGUCCUUCAGUCAGCUCCCUGAGCCUCGGCAUCCUGAUGCAUAUAAUGGGGCAACACCUCCCAUAAAAUGGGCUAAUAAAGGUGCAGCGUAAGCCCUGUCCCUGCUGACUACAUGGAAAAGGGCCUGCAGGCCUGUCUGCCCAGCUCCAAACUGGAAACAGUCCAGACGGCCUUCAACAGCCAAGGGUUCAACAAACUGUGCACCCACACCACAGAAUACUACUCGGCAAUAAAAAAGAAUAAGCAAUUGAUACAUACAACAACCUGGAUGGAUCUCCAGAGAAUUCACUGACUGAGGACCCGAAGGCCUACAUACUGUAUGGUUCCGUUUGUAUGAUAUUCUUAAAAAGCAAAUGUAUAGAAACAGAACAGAUUUGUUCAACCAGUGAAAACUGGGUUGAGAGUCUUUCAAAACAAAAAGCUUAAAGAAUUCUGUUUCCGAGAAGACAGGAGGCAGGUGGGGUGGGACAGGAGAGGCUGUGGCGCCGCUUCCCUUGUGGCUCAGUGGUAAAGAACCCACCUGCCUAGGCAGGAGCUUCGGAUUCGACCCCUGCUCUGGAAGAUCCCACGUGCCGCAGGCAACUAAGCCCACGCGUCACAAGCACUGAGCCCGUGCGCCCUUCAGCCCGCGCUCCGCC